rnacentral:lncRNA from 1 species
GAUUUGUUCCAUGGAUUUUGGUCAGGGGGAAGGAUAACAGAGGGGCUGCCAUCCUCAGAGAUCAACGGUGAUGAUGAGCCAUGGCCAGAGAGGCCAGGAACCGAAACAUGAAGAUGAUGAAAAAGAAAAGUUUGUAACGGUUAGAGCUUUUUCCCCAAAAUAUUGCCUUCAGUUUUUUUUGUUUUCUUUUUAUGUUUUUGGUCAAAAAGAUAAAUUUUAAUUUUUGUUUUUUUUUACGUCGAAAGGCCAUUCUAUUUGGUAACCAGACCGGAAUAGAACAACUAAUAAAAAGUAACUCCCUAUGGAAAGAUCUCGCAGUUUUAGCUAAGAAAUCUGAAGUCUGAUUGCGCGCUCUUGGUACAUGAGUGAUGCUGAAGUUCGGGAAGCAUACUUGAAGCGUUCCUAUCCUCUCCAGUUCCGUCGCAAAGCUUAGCCAAGCAUGAGGUUCCUUUAUCAUUGCGAUCAGGUCCUUACAGUCUGUCCCAAAGCUCUGACAUGUCGAGUGUUGAAGCAUAUUCUCCAUUGCCUAUCGCAGUGCUUCUAGUUCCGAGUGCAGGGCUAAUUCGCGUCGAGUGAUAUUUCUAGUCCCCAUAAGCUGUAUGUUCCCUCCACUGUCCAUCCAAACCCAUCCACAUCCACUAAAGUGAGCAGCAGGUGUCCAAGAUCCAUCUAACAAGCAAAUACUACCCAAGCUUAAGACUUGAGGUUCCUCGGUGAUGUUUUCCUGCAUCACUGGUUGUGUCACUUCAUUCGCAUCAAACCAGGCUUGGCAUUCAUUUUUUGCAUAUCUAACCAGCUCUAAUGGGUCUUUGUCUAUCCCUCUGAAAAGUUUGUCAUUCAUAGCCUUCCAGAUAUACCAGAUUAUCCAGGGAUAAGGAUCCCUGUCUUGUUCUGACUCAAUGAUGUCAUUUUUCCUCGAGAAUAGGUAAUCCAUGUUUGUGUAGACGCUUGAUACUGGGAACAAAUUUGGACUUGUUGGAGUUGAUGAUAAUGACCAGGCCUGCAGAGCUGGUGGACAUUCAAAGAUGGCAUGGGUUACUGAUUCUUCAGGUUCUCCACAUCUUGGGCAGUAGUUAUCACACCUCAUGUUUCGUCUUGCUAAGUUCCUCGUUACUGCCACAUGACCAGUUAACAAUUGCCAUAUAAGAUGACAUAUCUUCUUGGGCGUCUUUAAUUUCCAAGCAAAGGCUUGAAGCUUAGUGAUACUUGGCUCCAGAACUUCCUUUUCAUCUUCUAUCGUUAAUAAAUUCUGGGCCACCCAGUAACCAGAUUUAACUGUGUAUUGUCCGUUCUUUGUGUAGUUCCAGCAGAACGUAUCACGACGAUGAGUUGAGCUUACGGCCAAACUUCUUAUAAGUGGUAUAUCAUCAGGAUUGACAUAUUGUACCAAGAGGUUAACAUCCCAAUCCAUCGCUACCUGAUUGAUAAGAUCGCUGACUCUCAUAUUAGGAUUCAUAAUAGGCACUAUGGGAAUGGUUGGUCUCGCAGGGGUCGUAGGGAUCCACGGAUCCUCUCAUACCUUGACUUCAUAGCCUGAAUGAAUCUUCUGCCUUAUACAUAAACGAACAACUUUUCACACCGUGAUCAUAUACAAUCCUAUACAGUUCUUAACAUAUGAUUUGUCCCUUACACAAAAAUUCUACUUUGAAAUUUUUUCCUUGUAAUCUUCAGAACUCUAAAUAGAAGAACGGAUGUGUUAUGACAUACAGUUCUUCUAAGUAUUGCUUAGAUAGUAAUAACAAUAAUCCAUAUCGAGUAUACAAUCUUCUUCUGCUCGUGUUUAGUUAAUUAAACAUAAACCAUAUAGAGUAUACAAUCUUUUUAUGCUAGUGUUAUUAUAUAUGGUUCUUAUAAAUAGAGUUUAUUUAUAUAAUGUCCCUAGCGAAUCCAUACUCGAUUUUGGACUAACAUUUUUUCAAUUGAUUGUAAAUCUGUCAUGUAAGGUAAAUUGACAUCUUAAUUAAGUGACAAGUAAGCAAGGUCCUCUUGUAAUUAUUACAAACUUAAGGUUACAACUUUUUUAAAAGUUUCUCUAUUAAUAUAUAGUGGAUUAAAAAGAUCCGAGAAAUAUUUAAAUAAAACUAAGGUGAUGAUUGUUUACAUAGUUUUUGGAUUUUAGUUUUUGGUUUUUAAAUUUUAGUUUUUGAUUUUGCUGUAGAUUUUAGUUUUUUCAAAAAACUUGAAUGGUGAUUAUAUAUUCUGGUUUUUAAUUUUUUUUUAAAAAAAAAUUGUAUAUUGUGGAAUCUAAAGUUUGAUUAGUAAUUUGUUUAAUUUUAAAGUUAUUAUUAUUUUUAAGAACUUCACUUAUAAGUUAAUUUCUUUUUAAAUAACAUUAAAUCACUUAUUUUUAAGAACUUCACUAAUAAUGUUUUCAUAUUAAAUAUGUUAAACAAAUUAUUUUUACUUAACCUAAUAGUCUAUAUUUUAAAGAAUUCAUUCUUAAAAUUUGAUUGGAUGCUUACAUGUACGUGAAUAUUAUAUAGUACUCUCAUUGCGUUUAGCAACCAAGUAGAAUAUGUAUUUAGUUUAUUAUUGAUCUUUUGAGUAUCAUUUCUUAUAUUAAUAUUUAUUAAAUAACAGUAUUUAUAAUAUAAAACAACAUCGUCAAGAAAUAUAAUUUAUUUUCAUAUUACAUAUGUUAUUAUAAUUUUAUUGACAAGUUUUUAAAAAUGUUCUUAAUACAAAUUAUUUUCAUAUUGCAUAUGUUGUAUGAUUCUUACUAAACCAUAUUUUUAUAGUAAUUACCAUUUUAUUUAUUUUUCCUAUAUUAAUUCAUAAAUGUAGAAAAAGACCCAACAAUCAAAGAAAAAUAUAUAUUUUUUGUAUAUUGAAUUUUCAUUUUAAUAAAAUUUAUUGAGAUUCACUUGUAGUAUUUAGAGAUCGAAUUCACAAGGAACUACAAAACCUAAUAAAUCUAGUUAAGUUUAAGCUAGGUUAUUUAUUAUUAAAUAUAAAAGACAGGUUUGUGAGCAAGUUAAUUGCUUUAUUGAUUGAGUGAGAUUUUGAUACUUAGAUGAAAGUAGCUAGACUUAAAGCUUCUAUUCAGGUAAUCAUGAUUAUAAUCCUACAUAUGCCUAAUAAGUUGUAUGCAUAAUAUUAUGGAGCUCAACAUUUAAUAACAAACCAUUAGGCUUUCGCUCUCUAGGUUUGUCUAUUGACCAGUGUUGAUCGAUGAUUCUAUAGGAAUAUCGAUCGAUACACUUGUUGCAACGUCGACCGAUUAUUCGAUUGAAAUAUCGAUGAACGCUUUUGGUCAAGCGUUAAUGCGCGGAUUGAAUAUGCUCACUAAGCUUCCUAGAUCAGCUCCCGCCUUACUAUAGCAAUCUUAGCUCAGUUAGGAUGGAACCAGGGUGAGAUGCAAACUAUCGCUUAUGUCUACAACUCCUACGGCAAGUUCUAGGUAACUAAUCUAGAAACAUGUAUUAAUGACUAUCCUAAAGAUGAAUAUCACAACUUAGCAGUCUAUAGUUGGGGUUAAUCCCUCAUAACCUAUUUAAACCCUAAAUCUAACAAAGAGAACUACUCAGACAUGACUAAGCAAUUCAUAACAGCAAUAAGGUAUAAAACCUGCAUAGAUAAAUAGAUAAAUAUCAAUGGAGAUCCAAUCACAAAUUUUUUUUGAUCUUCUCUCCAAUCUACUAAAGAUCCUAGAAAACAUUUGCUGUAAAAUCAGUAAAACAAGAAAGCACACUUUCCCUCUAACAUGUUGGCAAAGCUUAUAUAAUUAGGCUAAAACUCGUCCGGGGUAAUCUUGUAAAUUGGUGAAGACUUGGGCUCUAAGUCGGCUGAGACCAAACGGGCUUUCUGCGCGCUUCGCUGUCGAUCGAAGUUAAGAUGUAAACAUCGAUCGAUUAUUCCUCUUCAAUAUCGAUCCAUGGUCGCGCUCGAUGGUCAUCUCAGGUGCUACUCCAAAUAUCUCCAAAAUGCUCCAAAAUCAUCAUUUUCUUCCAAAAUCACUUCUGAUCCUAUAAAUAUACUAAAUAAACUCUAUAAUAUAAUAAUUAGUAGUUAAAAUACUUAUAAACCAUGGGUAAAAGUGGGUUAAAUCCAUGGUCUAUCAACUCCCCCAGACUUGAAAACAGCAGGGACUCACAGAUUAAAACUUAGAAUCAACACCUUAGACAGUUCUAGUUUAACCUUUCCUUUUCUCUUCCUCAAGAUUCUCCCCAUAGGAGCCUUAUCAACCUCCAUAGGGUCUGCUGCAUCAAACGAAUGUGUCAUGGUCGUCUCUGGAGGGUUAGCUGAAGGUUUGGGUUGUGGUAUGAGUGCAUUGAGACUGGUGAUUUCUAUCUUUGGCAUCUGCACUCGGUAUGUGAGAGGUGCACAUCAAUCGAUGGGCGCUGGAGGUUGUCGAUCAAUGGCGGUCACUCUCUGUCGAUCGAUGGCAGGACCAGUGUGCCGAUCGAUAUUGACAUAAAUAUGGAUGGGUGGAUGUGGGUGUCUUGCUGCAAACUCCUCGUGAGUCAUAAUCCUCACGGCAUUGCAAGAUGUGGCCGACUUCGUAGGUGUCAUCGAUCAAUGCUCUGGAGAGCCUGUCGAUCGAUUUUGAUUGAAUUCUGUCGAUCGAUGUUCGAAGUUCCGCGUCGAUCGACAACAAUGCGAUCUGCCGCAACUCAUCGAGCUUUCUACUUUGAAAUCUCUUUCUUGCAGCUUCUCUUGCUUCACCACAUGCCAUAAAUCAUCAUCUAUGAUGGCAUUCACGUCUUCAUCACAUUAGCUCCUACCCCUCUUGUUAAGGCUUCUUGCCUCUUAACAGCUUCUCCUAUUUGAACAACAUGCAUCUCCAGCUUCUUCACGUGAGUGUUCAAAGUCUCAAACUUGUGUUCAGGUUGGUGUAGACAGAGUCAAUCUUCCCAUUGAAGUCCACUGUCAUGCUCUGCUGUCCCUCAAGAACCUAAUCGAGCAUCGCCUCAAUCUUGCUAUCCUGAAGUAGGUGGUGGCGGCUUCUGGUAGAAUGAGUUUCCAUAACUCAUGUUGUUGUUGUAAUUGUUGCUGUAGGGUUUCUGCUGCUGCGAAACUCUGGUUGAAAUUACUUCUAUGUCCAUAGAAGUUUCCAUUUUGUUUUCCAGACCUCUGAAAUCCAGUUCCUCCAAUGAUGUUCACAUCCUCUGCUACUUCUGCUUUUCCCUCUGUGUCUACAGCCUCUGCAUCCUUUACUAAGCAAGUCUGCUUCCUGAGAAGCUUGUGAACAUUGUCCAGCUUUGCUCUGACUUCAUCCAUCUGGCUAUUCCCAUGGAUGGAAGCAGAUCUCUUCCUCUCAAAGUCAGUGUUCUUGGUGAUGUUGAUGGAUGCUAAGUUCUCAACAACUCUCACAGCCUCCUCUGGAUUCCUGGUGUUGAAGUUCCCAUCGCUGGAAGCAUCAAGAGCCAUCUGAUACUGCACUGCGAUGCCUCUAAAAAAUGUGCUGAGUAGCUUCACCUCAUUGAAUCCAUGGUGUGGACAGUCCCUCUAGUAAGAUUUGAAUCUGAUCCAGAAGCUUCUAAAGGAUUAUGUAGGCUCCUAAGUGAAUGUGGCAAUCUUGCUCCUCAAGUAUUCAUCACGUGCCUCAUCAAAGAAAUUGCAUAAGAAUGCAUUCUUGAUGUCGGCCCAUGAUGUGAGAGAUCCUGGUGGUAACUACUUAAGCCAAUGUGAAGCCUCUCCAACAAGUGAGUACUUGAAGAGCUUGCAUAGUAGGUAGUCCUCAGGGACUCCUUUGACUUGUAUAGCAGAUAUGAGAUCCUCGAACCUCUCCAGAUAGUCCAUAGGAUGCUCGUAAGAUAACCCAUAAUAGGGUGUCUGUCCCACGAGUGUGUAAUAUUGCAGCUUCAACUCGAAAUCUCCUCUCUGGAUAGUUGGAUGACGAAUAGCUGAUAUGUUGGUAUAUAACUGAUCUGGACGGGUGUAAUCAACUAACGUUCUGGGUCGAGCAUCCUCAUCUAUAGGUAGAGCAGUGCAUGUAUUAUCAGUAUCAGACUCAUGGGUUGCAGCCCCCUGAGCAUUUAUCCUCUGACCUACUGCAUUACGUAGAUGACCUUCCUGGUCACGUAGGUCUCCCUUCUCAUCACAUAUAAGUAUCAACGUCGCAACCAUGUCUCGCGGCUCUGUAUCGAUCGACGUCGGGUGAACGAUAUCGGUCGAUGGAAGAGUGUCUUUGGUCGACGGUGGUGAGCGAGUGUCGGUCGACGAGACUAGUGUCUGGGUUGAAGGUGGUUGACGAAAAUCGAGCGACGAACUAGUGUUGUUGUUGAUCGAUGAGGAGCGUAUUCCUUUGCGGAUUGAAUGUUCCAAGCUUGCAGGAUCUGAUGAGAAUAGCAGUUGAUUUUCCUUGUUGCUUCUGGUAUUGCUGGGCAUGUACCUGAAAAGACAAGAAUUUUUUUUUGUGUCAGAAAGUGGUUUUAAGAAGAAACCUAGACUAAAUCAAAUUAAAUUAAAUUAAAUUUAUCAAGCGAUCAAAGCUCCUCGGCAACGGCGCCAAAUUUGAUAUCACUUAAAUUACCCUAAGGAGUGAAUUACUAUCUCAAAUCAGAGGUUCAGUUGUAGUACUUAUGGAUCAAAUUCUCAGGGAGCUAGGAAACUUAAUAAAUCUAAUUAAGUUGAUUAAGCUAGGUUGUUUGUUAUUAAAUAUAAAAAACAUGUUUGUGAGCAAGUUAAUUGUUCGAUUGAUUGAUUGGACUUAGAUGAAAGUAGCUAGACUUAGGACUUCUAUUCAAAUAAUUAGGAUUAUAAUCCUACAGAUGGCUAAUAAGUUGUAUGCAUGAUAUUAUAGAGCUCAACACUUAAUAAAAAACCAUUAGGCUUUUGCUUUCUAUUGACCAGUGUCGAUCGAUGAUUCUAUAGGAAUAUCGAUCGAUACACUUGUUGCAACGUCGACCGAUUAUUCGAUUGGAAUAUCGAUCGUGAGAUGCAAGAUAUCGCUUAUGUCUACAACUCCUAGGGCAAGUUCUAAGUAGCUAAUCUAGAAAUAUGCAUUAAUGACAAUCCUAAAGAUGAAUAUCAUAACUUAGCAAUUUAUAGUUGGAGCUAAUCCCUCAUAACCUAUUAAAACCCUAACUCUAACAAAGAGAACUACUCAGACAUGGCUAAGCAAUUCAUAACAGCAAUAAGGUAUAAAAACUGCAUAAAUAAAUAGAUAAAUAUCAAUGGAGGUCCAAGCACAAAUCUCUUUGGAUCUAAUCUCCAAUCUACUAAAGAUCCUAGAAAACCUUUGCUGUGAAAUCGGUAAAACAAGAAAGCACACUUUGCCUCUAACAUGUUGGCAAAGCUUAUAUAAUUAGGUUAAAACUCGUCAGAGGUAAUCUUGUAAAUUGGUGAAGACUUGGGCUCUAAGUCGGCUGAGACCAAACAUGCUUUAUGUGCGCUUCGCUAUCGAUUGAUGUUAAGAUGUUAAAAUCGAUUGAUUAUUCCUCUUCAAUGUCGACCGGUGGUCAUGUUCAAUGGUCAUCUCAGGUGCUUACUCCAGAUAUCUCCAAAAUGCUCCAAAAUCAUCACUUUCUUCCAAAUCACUCAUGAUCCUAUAAAUAUACUAUAUAGACUCUAUAAUAUAAUAAUUAGUAGUUAAAACAGUUAUAAACCAUUGGUAAAAGUGGGUUAAAUACAUGGUCUAUCAUUUUACCUCGACAAUGGCAUAACUUGUUUCUAGUUUUACCAAGUUAAACCCUUGACAAUGUAAAACUUAAACCAUUAUCGAAAUACUUGGUAAAACUAGGGCUUUACAUCAACAACCAGAUUUAAAAUUUAAAAUUUAAAAAUUAAAAUUGGGGAAAAUGUAAGGGCAAAAUUGGAAUUCUCUUAAUUCAUUAAGAGUAGAGAGUGCAUUGGAUUGAGCACAGUAUGUGAGAUUAAAUUUUGGGCGAUAAGAAUAUAUGAUAUUUUAACCCCAAAACUAGGUAGAUGAGGCAAAUGAGUAUGAGUACGAAGAGAGAGAGAGGUAAGGGAUAAUGAGAAUAAAUGAAUAAGGAAACAAAAAGAACAAUUUUUGAUGACUAAAGGUGAGUCACAAUUACGUACCAAAUAGAGACUUAUUUUUCGUCACCGUUUCGUAACCAAUUUUUAAUGGUAUGUAUAGUCACAAUACCAUCACGACCGUUACGUUUAUUACUAUAGUAACAAUUACGUAUGUAGUUGUGACUAAAUAUAGCAACGAUUUACAUCAUCAUAAUGUAGUGACUAAACAACUACAAAAUUAAGACGAAAAAAUACAGUCACAACUACGUAUUAAAAACGUCACUAUAUUGUGACCAAGACAGUUCGUCUCAAGAUGUAGUCACAAUAUGUCUUUUUUUUGUAGUGAGAGGUGAGUGAGGAAGAACAAAAUGAGGAGUAAGAAGAGGAAGAAGUGGAGAAAGGGGUGAGGAAGAACAAAAGGUGGAAGAGAAAAUGAGAGAAGGGUGACGAAGUGGAGUAGAAGAAGAAGAAUAUGUUGUAUCAUAGUAUAGUGUAUCAUUAAAAUAAAAUAGUAUAUUGUAUUUACAAUAUACUGAAACUGAUUACAUAUUGGUUUUUUUUUUUGAAACACGAUUACAUAUUGGUUGUUCGACGAAAAUAAAAAGAAAAUAUAUAAACUAUGAGAGAAAAUCUAGAAUUUAAGGGAACUCUAGAUACGUCAACUCAUAUCAAUGACAUAAAAUUAUUUAUAUUAAUAUGAAGUUUGAUUUCUAGUUAACAUGUAUAAGUCGGGAAAUAUAGAAUAGAUUCACAAUAUACAAAACACUGUUCAUCUUCUUCAUCAACUCAGUGUCUGAUUUUUAUAUUGCUUUUCCUCCAUCUCAUGCCAAUUCAGAACAAUUAACCACAAUCUAACUCUCUUGUUCUUGUCUUGCAAUUUUCGCUGAUUCGUCGUCGGAAUACAAUCAUUAACACAUUUGUUUCCAUUAAUGCAGUUUUCGUCAUCACUAAAGAGGAAUCAUGAGAUGGAGAAAAAAAAGUAGGAUUGAGUUGUAGAGUAGAAGAAGAAGAAGAAAACGUAAGUUGGGAUGAGUGCAUUUGGAUUUCAAAGACAGAAGAAGAAUUAAUACAUAUUAUUCACACUUUAUUCUAGCUA